rnacentral:rRNA from 1 species
UACGUAGGGGGCGAGCGUUAUCCGGAUUCACUGGGUGUAAAGGGAGCGUAGACGGCCAUGCAAGCCAGGGGUGAAAGCCCGGGGCCCAGCCCCGGGACUGCCCUUGGAACUGCAUGGCUGGAGUGCGGGAGGGGCAGGCGGAAUUCCUGGUGUAGCGGUGAAAUGCGUAGAUAUCAGGAGGAACACCGGCGGCGAAGGCGGCCUGCUGGACCGCGACUGACGUUGAGGCUCGAAAGCGUGGGGAGCGAACGGG